CAAAAACACUCUUUUUUUUAAAUUUAAAUGAUUUGUAUUGUAGUCUGAAGCCCUUGACGUAUAUACUAAAUGAUGUCUUGAUUGAUUUAUUUAAAAAGCAACACAACUUAUUCUUUCUCUCUCUUUCUAUACUUUUUAAAAAGGAGCCAGAGGUAAGAGCUCUAAAAUAACCUGGAUAGCUUCCUAAUGUGUUUUAAAGCUCUAAAGCAUUGAGUGCCUUGGGUAUGUAUAAAGACUUUUUCAAUCCAUCUUACCUGUGGUCGUAGACGGUAAUGAGAAAUGCAUUGCUAAGACUCUUGUUAAUAAAUGAACUGGACUCCAACCAUUUGAAGUCUUAGGUUUCAGGCUUUGACCUCGAUGUUCAUGUCAUGUGUAGAGGCCGACGCGGUGGCUUCUUUAGGAAAGAGAGUAAUGGCGGUGCAAUGGAGAGGUUGGUUUAAACCGUAAUCGUUCCACUAUAAAGGUAACCUUAACCCUAAAUGUGUCAUUUUUGAUAGUGUGUUUAUAUAUUGAAUUAAGCUGCUGGUAAAUGCGUGCAAUUUAGUAAAAGAAGAAUUCUAGUCAUGUCAACAACAACAACAAAAAAUCUAAAGUAAAGUAACUUCCAAUAUUAUUGUAGUUGUAGAUUUACUAAAAUAAAUGUUCUGUGUACUAACAAAAUAUCCUACAAUAGUGUUAAUAAUGCAACUCUUGCUAAAAUGAAAAUCUGCAAAGCCGAAUCUUUAUCAAUAUCUUCUGAACCAGUUGAGCUGCUACUUUUUCUUUGCGUUAUUUGUGUAAACAUUGCAUAUACUGUAACAUGUUUGACAUAUUUUGUAGAACGUAAUGGACUAAAGCUUGAGUUGCAUGACUACAACUACUCUGUCCAUUUUGCAUGAUUUUAACUGAACUGUCCACUAGUGUUUUCCCAUUGGUUAUGGAUUUAGUGUGUCUCUUCCCUCAGGUCCAACUAUUAGUCAGUCAUGGACCAAUCAGAGGGUGGCUUACUGGAGAGAGAGAACCAAUCAGAGGUCGGCUUACUGGAGAGAUGAUACCAUACAUACCUCAGGUCCUCUCAAGCUCUGUGAAGUUGGAUGGGGAGCGUCGCUGUACAGCUAUCUCCAGGUCUCUCCAGAGAUGUUUGGACAGGUUCAAGUCCGGGCUCUGGCGGGGUCACACAAGAACAUUCAGACUUGUCCCGAAGCCACUCCUGUGUUGUUUUGGCUGUAUGCUUGAGGUCGUUGUCCUGUUGGAAGGUGAACCUUCGCCCCAGUCUGAGGUUUUGAGUGCUCUGGAGCAGGUUUUCAUCAAGGAUCUCUCUGUACCUUGCUCAAAGUGACCAUCGGGUUCUUGGUCACCUCCCUGACCAAGGCCCUUCUCCCCUGAUUGGUCAGUUUGGCCGGGCGGCCAGAUCUAGGACGAGUCUUGGUGGUUCCAAACUUCUUCCAUUUUAAGAAUGAUGGAGGACAUUGUGUUCUUGGGGACCUUCGAUGCUGCAGAAAGGUUUUGUUUUCCCCAGACCUGUGCCUCGACACAAUCCUGUCUCGGAGCUCUACGGACAAUUCCUUCGACCUCAUGGCUUGGUUUUUGCGUUGACGUGCACUGUCAACUGUGGGACCUUUUAUAUUGACAGUUGUGUGCCUUUCCAAUUCAUGUCCAAUCAAUUGAUUUUACCACAGGUGGACUCCAAGUUGUAGAAACAUCUCAAGGAUGAUCAAUGGAAACAGGAUGCACCUGAGCUCCAUUUUGAGUCUCAUAGCAAAGGGUCUGAAUACUUAAGUAAUAUGGACAGGAAGGACCUGAUCCUAGAUCAGCACUCCUGCUCUGAGACCAUAUGAAUACAGGUCCAGAUUUAUAGCCAUAAUGUCAGCUAUACUGAUACUGAAACUCCACAUUCCAGGAGUGUGUGUGGCUGAUAAACCAAUACACAUGUUACUUCUAGAACCCUACACGCUGUCCGGAACCCUACGCGCUGUCCAUAACCCUACGCGCUGUCCAUAACCCUACACGCUGUCCGGAACCCUACGCGCUGUCCGGAACCCUACGUGCUGUCCGGAACCCUGGGCGCUGUCCGGGAACCCUGGGCGCUGUCCGGAACCCUGGGCGCUGUCCGGAACCCUGGGCGCUGUCCGCAACACUGGGCGCUGUCAGAACCUUGAGGUGGUGCAGGAGCCGCAGGGCUCUACAUGACAGAGCACUGGAUCGCCGUCAGGCUCCACAGUGAAGAACUGACCCAGUAGAGGGCACCAAUACUGGGGUAGAGCAGUCUGGAAGGAGGGCAGGCUGCCCAGAGGACCAGAGAGCAGAUGUAGCCUACAGAGGAGAGAGAAGGGAGCCUUGGCCCCGCUAGAAAAAGAAGAGGGGUGGUUCUAUGAGGCUCUGUAUUAGAAUCUGGAUGAGGGGAGAAGAUUCUGGAAUGUGAAGCUAUGACACAUUACUGUGAAGCUAUGACACAUUACUGUGAAGCUAUGACACUUUAUUGUGAAGCUAUGACACUUUAUUGUGAAGCUAUGACACUACUGUGAAGCUAUGACACUACUGUGAAGCUAUGACACUACUGUGAAGCUAUGACACUACUGUGAAGCUAUGACACUACUGUGAAGCUAUGA
ensembl:lncRNA